AUUGAACGCUGGCGGCAGGCCUAACACAUGCAAGUCGAACGAGUGGCGGACGGGUGAGUAAUGUCUGGGAAACUGCCUGAUGGAGGGGGAUAACUACUGGAAACGGUAGCUAAUACCGCAUACCAUCGGAUGUGCCCAGAUGGGAUUAGCUAGUAGGGGGGGUAAAGGCUCACCUAGGCGACGAUCCCUAGCUGGUCUGAGAGGAUGAACCGCCACACUGGGACUGAGACAAGGUCUAGACUCCUACGGGAGGCAGCAUUGGGGAAUAUUGCACAAUGGGGGCAAGCCUGAUGCAGCCAUGCCGCGUGUAUGAAGAAGGCCUUCGGGUUGUAAAGUACUUUCAGCGGGGAGGCGUUACCCGCAGAAGAAGCACCGGCUAACUCCGUGCCAGCCGCCGCGGUAAUUC
rnacentral:rRNA from 1 species